rfam:Erinaceus europaeus unplaced genomic scaffold scaffold00055, whole genome shotgun sequence
GGAUGUGAGGGUGAUCUGGCUGGCCAGGUGGGUGUCCCUUUCCUCCCUCACCACUCCAUGUUCCUCCCUCUUGAAGCUGCACCCUUGGUUGAAGAAGACGGCCUUCCCCUAAUAAAGACAUGACCGACCAACCGGUCUUUGGUCGAGGGUAUACGAGUAGCUGCAUUGUCCUGCUAGAACCUCCAAACAAGUUUUCAAAGAAAGGGGUGGAAGAUAGCAUCAUGGUUAUGCAAAAAGACUUUUAUGCUUGAGGCAUUGAUUUCCCAGUUUCAAUCCCCCUAUGC